GGGUGAAUGCCAUUCCUGCUAUUGAGGAGGUCAACAUUUUCAAGGAUGAUGUGGUUAUCCAAUUCAACAACCCGAAGGUUCAAGCAUCUAUUGCUGCAAACACCUGGGUUGUUAGUGGUUCUCCUCAAACCAAGAAAUUGCAGGAUAUCUUGCCUGGUAUCAUCAAUCAAUUGGGGCCGGAUAACUUGGACAACUUGCGUAAAUUGGCUGAACAGUUUAAACAGCAAGCACCUGGAGCAGGUGGUGAUGCAAAGAAUGCCCAAGAGGAGGAUGACGAUGUUCCAGAACUUGUCGAGGGAGAGACUUUUGAAGCUCCCGCAGAAGAAAAUCGUUCUUCUUAGAGAGAUCCUUUUGAAUGAAAGGAGUGUUUUAUGCCGUUUUAUACUUCCUAGAGUUGC
rnacentral:misc_RNA from 1 species